rnacentral:snRNA from 1 species
AUAUUUAUGGAGGAAAACGAAACACCACCUUUUAUUAAAUGGAUUUUUGAAACAGGGAGAUGGAAUAGGAGCUUGCUCCAUCCACUCCAUGCAUCAACCUGGUAUUACAGUGCUUCCAGGAAUGGUGCACUUCCC